CCUCCAUCAUGAGGCCUACCCCUAUUAUGCUCGUCCCAUUUAGAUAAUUACUAAAACAAUCAUGCCAUUUGUUUCCCUGUAUCAACAAUUUGUCCGUGAUAUAAAAAAAAAAAAAGAAGGUUGCUAAAAUGUAAUUUGCAACUGUGGUGUGACCUACAAAUGAGAUCUGUUGGACACGAAUAUAAGAGCAUAACAGCUGAUUAUCCAGCUUCAUCUUGCAACAAGG